GGGUUGUGGCUCAGUGGUAGACCGCUUGCCUUGCACAUGUGAGGUACUGGGUUCAAUCCUCAGCACUAUUCA
rnacentral:tRNA from 1 species